UGUGAAGCUGGUCAUGCUCCCCGGGCACAGAGAGUUAGCGCAGCUGAACCGGAUCUGUGCAGUCACGCUGCCAGUGUCAGCUGGAGUCAGAGGUGUGCAUCUCUCGUUGCAGUCCAUAGGAGUUAUCCCAGGCUCGGUCUGAUCCCUCUGCUCGGGGAGGUGGGCUGUCUUAGUGUCUCAGUCUGCUUCAGAUGGGUAAUUUGCUGGGCACCCCACUUUGCCACAUAUAUCUAAUUAUGUUAUGUUUUUCCACUAUGUGCCUCCGAUUGCCUCAUAUGAUGCCGCUACUGUCACCAUUUAUUAUGCCGGGGUCUGCCCGGGGAUGCUCUGCUCCAUUUCGGCAAACUGGACUUAUCAGGUACCUACACUGCCGACAAGGGACUCGCCCGGGGAGCGCGAUCAGCUUCACAGUUGUUUGUUUACUUUUGAUUGUCAUAUGACUUAUGUCAAUUUAAUUGUUAUUUAUGUUACCAUGACUACUACACGUCAUACCCGGCAUGCCGGCCUAUGACAUCAUCAGUGGGCGCUCCUCGUGCAUUUAACUGACACCUGCGUGCGUUCAGAUUCACAGCAGAAGAAGGCUACAUGCCGAAACACAUCCUGUCUUCAGGAUAUGCAAUAAAUACUAUUUGCUUGAAGCUUUGAUGGCAUGCUGAACGAAUGAAUAAAGAUCACGAGAUAACCAUUUCCUGAGACAGAUGGACUCACGAAAGGAGGCUCGGCAAGAAGUGAAAUCUACCGUAAUCUGAAGAUUUUCAUUGAAACAAAAUUCAACAAGCUUUAUUUGGAUAAUCUGAAUAGACAUCAAAUACACAACACCAGGGAAAUCCUAGGUUUUCUGA